rnacentral:pre_miRNA from 1 species
AGACACCUUUAUGGGGCAAGACUUGCUUCAAUGGGGCCAUGGUGCUCAUUGAGUCUUCUCCCUGAGUGUGUCCCU